UAACAAACAUGAUAGAGCACUUGGGAG
rnacentral:piRNA from 1 species